GAUCGGAGACAUUACUGAGUUUUGAAGUGGGCUUGAUGCUGGUGUCUUAACCGACGCAUGUGCUCAGCCCCGCUCUCAUCCACUCAACACCUGUGCACUUUCAAAGUUGUGGUCCUCCGUAAUGGGAGUCGCAGGUCUUUUUGACUUGCUGGGACUGCACUUUGCCAUUUAUCACAAACUAUAUACAUUGUCUUGUAGAAUGUUCAGCCUCAUUGUGGGCGAAACUUAAUACAACUUUCAACAACGGAUCUCUUGGCUCUCGCAUCGAUGAAGAACGCAGCGAAAUGCGAUAAGUAAUGUGAAUUGCAGAAUUCAGUGAAUCAUCGAAUCUUUGAACGCACCUUGCGCUCCUUGGUAUUCCGAGGAGCAUGCCUGUUUGAGUGUCGUGAAAUUAUCAACUCCCUUUCUUUAUUGAAGGGUGAGCUUGGACUUGGGGAUUGCUGGUGCAAGUUGGCUUCCCUUGAAUGCAUUAGCUGGAAUUUGAUUCGCAGCAUAUAUGCGGUGUGAUAAUGUCGUCACUGUGUAGCUCGGAUUGUCUGGCUUCUAAUCGUCCUUCACGGGACAAUUUGAUCUUUUUGACCUCAAAUCAGGUAGGACUACCCGCUGAACUUAACAAAAAAAAGGGGGGG
rnacentral:rRNA from 1 species